rnacentral:rRNA from 1 species
GACGAACGCUGGCGGCGUGCUUAACACAUGCAAGUCGAACGGAAAGGCCCUGCUUUUGUGGGGUGCUCGAGUGGCGAACGGGUGAGUAACACGUGAGUAACCUGCCCUUGACUUUGGGAUAACUUCAGGAAACUGGGGCUAAUACCGGAUAGGAGCUCCUGCUGCAUGGUGGGGGUUGGAAAGUUUCGGCGGGUGGGGAUGGACUCGCGGCUUAUCAGCUUGUUGGUGGGGUAGUGGCUUACCAAGGCUUUGACGGGUAGCCGGCCUGAGAGGGUGACCGGCCACAUUGGGACUGAGAUACGGCCCAGUCUCCUACGGGAGGCAGCAGUGGGGAAUAUUGCACAAUGGGCGGAAGCCUGAUGCAGCAACGCCGCGUGCGGGAUGACGGCCUUCGGGUUGUAAACCGCUUUCGCCUGUGACGAAGCGUGAGUGACGGUAAUGGGUAAAGAAGCACCGGCUAACUACGUG